CCGAUGGAGACUUCACCAUCUAUGGUGUCACUGGUGGCCACAGCAGGGGGAGAGGCACAUGCCAACUCAUGCACCGGCCACAUCAGAAGUGUCUGCAGGAGUGAAAUGGGUCACCACUAUUUGCACUUCAUUGGCCCAAGUGACGCCAAAUUUCAAGGGAUUAUGGAAGUAUAAUUCAACAUGGUUUUAGAAUGAGGACUAGGAAACUCUGGAGAACACUGCUAAUGAUUUACGGCUUAACAUGGGGAAGGAGAGCAAGGACUACAUCAUGGACUGUACUGAAGAAAACCCCCACCCAAGCCGGUGUUUAGAAGAUGAAGUUAAAUGAGAAUGGGGAGGUAAAUAGAGGGGUAAGUGCCAUGUUAGAAAUGAAGAGGAAAAAGCUGGGUGUGGUGGCACACACCUGUAGUGCCAGCUACUUGGGAGGCUGAGGUGGGAGGAUUACUUGGGCCCAGGAAUUGGAGGCUGCAGUGAGCUGUGAUCGCACCACUGCA
rnacentral:lncRNA from 10 species